AAUGUACUCCCUCCGUCCUAUAAAAGAUGUCUCGAGUUUGUGAAAAUUUGGAUGUAUCUAGAUGUGACUUAGUGUAUAGAUGCAUUCAAAUUUAGUCAAAACUGAGACAUCCUUUGUUAGACGGAUGGAGUAUUAU
rfam:Brachypodium distachyon strain Bd21 chromosome 1, whole genome shotgun sequence.